UACGGAAGGCAGCAGUGGGGAAUAUUGCACAAUGGGCGCAAGCCUGAUGCAGCCAUGCCGCGUGUAUGAAGAAGGCCUUCGGGUUGUAAAGUACUUUCAGUCGUGAAGGAAGGUGUUAAGGUUAAUAACCUUAGCAAUUGACGUUAGCGACAGAAGAAGCACCGGCUAACUCCGUGCCAGCAGCCGCGGUAAUACGGAGGGUGCGAGCGUUAAUCGGAAUUACUGGGCGUAAAGGGCACGCAGGCGGUUAAUUAAGUUGGAUGUGAAAUCCCCGGGCUUAACCUGGGAAUGGCAUUCAAGACUGGUUAGCUAGAGUCUUGUAGAGGGGGUAGAAUUCCAUGUGUAGCGGUGAAAUGCGUAGAGAUGUGGAGGAAUACCGGUGGCGAAGGCGGCCCCUGGACAAAGACUGACGCUCA
rnacentral:rRNA from 1 species